UUCAGUUGGGCACUCUAAGGUGACUGCCGGCUAAAAGUCGGAGGAAGGUGGGGAUGACGUCAAAUCAUCAUGCCCCUUAUGACCUGGGCUACACACGUGCUACAAUGGGCGGUACAAAGGGUCGCGAACCCGCGAGGGGGAGGCCAAUCCCAAAAAGCCGCUCUCAGUUCGGAUUGCAGGCUGCAACUCGCCUGCAUGAAGCCGGAAUCGCUAGUAAUCGCGGAUCAGCAUGCCGCGGUGAAUACGUUCCCGGGCCUU
rnacentral:rRNA from 1 species